CAAAGGCUCUCAACUCUGCAAGAGUGAAGCGGAAUUCAACUCAACAUUUCAAGUUCUCAACCGGAGCCUUCAUCGGCCCAGAAAAUUUAAAGUUUCCCGCUUGUGCAGUUUCACUUCCCUCUCAUAUGGAAAUCCUAAAUUUCCAACUUCCCUCCAAUUCCAUUCAGCUAACCCACUUAGCUAUCAGAUUCAUUUCAUUUCUCCUCCCAUCACCAGUCCUCUCACCUUCAACCUCCAAUUCUUUAGUCCCCAUCGCCCAUGGGAUUUCCCUCUUAUAGUUCGAUAUGGGUUAAGUUUUAACGAGUUGUUAAGUGCCAAAAUCUAGAGUUCAACACCAGCCGCUCUCUGGGAUUAUGAGUAUUGCAGAGGAGAAUCAUGAAACAAGUACAGAUGUAUUGGUGUCGGGAGAUGGAAUUGAAUUUUGUAUGCGGACCAUAGUCCUCAACGGUGGAAUGUCAUGUUGAGGAUUUGUUGGAGCUGCAACAAGAGUUCCUGGCCAGCGAGAAGAGAAUACUUGGGCAGCCUAUCCCAUGAGUACAUUCCCAACGCAAACAUACUAUGUACAUUCCCAACUUGGCACAGACCAUGUACAAUUUCAUCAGUGGUUUAAUCCUAGAUAAGACAGUUUAGUUAACUCAUUAACUAAGCUAGUUAAGUAGUUAUUGAUGGACUUUAGGUUGCUGGAACUGAAGACUGCUUGACAACAUUCUCAGCUUGCUUUGAUGCAAAAUGCUACAUCCGACCAAGUAGGACUGGUUGAGAAGAAUCUGCUUGCUUUGAUGCAGCAUUUUUGACGUAGCAUCCUGGCAUGGCUACUGAAUGGAAAACUAUGAUCAUGCAUGCCUUUCCAAAUAAACUUGCAGUAGUGUAGUAACUAGAAACCACUAAGUUUGUGGGAUUGUAAUUUUCUACUGCUACUUAGCUUGUGUUUGAUUAUUUUCAUUUAGAGUUUGCUUCAUAUUAGGAAGCAUACAUGAGUUUCCUUUUUGCAAUGUUAAAAGAUAAAAGCUUGUAGAUCACAAAUGAAUUACAUUGACAAUUGAGGCCUUAUGUUCCAUUGAUUGAAUUUGACAACAAUAAUAGCAUAUAUCUGUUACAUUUGGGCAAGAAUAGCCUGUCUUAGCAAAGCACAUGUAAAAAUUAGAAAUAUAUAGUUACACCAGUGAGAACAUUGUAAAACAUAGCAAAUAAAUUAUCAAACAAGCAACUGUCUCUUGAAAACAAAUCCUAUUUGCCUUGAAAGAUUAUCAGGCCUU